rnacentral:pre_miRNA from 1 species
AUAUUAAUCACAUAGGGAUCUUAUUACAAUGCAGAUUCUGAUUCAGCAGGAUUGAAGUGGAGGAUUCUGAAUUUUUAGCCAGUUCCCAGGUGAUGUGGAU